AUGCCAUCCUUUGUGGCGCGUCGGAAAAAACCAGAGCUCGUGCUACCGGCGCAAGCAACACCGCACGAGACUCUGGCUCUCUCCGACGUUGACGACGCCAUAGACCUGCGAUUUCUGCAGCCUGCCAUCGAGUUCUUUCGUGCUGUCGACAUCGACAUUGAUGACCACGGGCUGGGGCGGCCUGCCACAGCUGCCAAGGUAGUCAAGGCGGCCCUCGCGAAGGCUCUGGUGCACUACUACCCGCUGGCAGGCCGUCUCCGGGAGGCUGCUGGGGGAAAACUAGCCGUCGAGUGCACAGGGGAAGGCGUCGUGUUCGUGGAGGCGGAGGCAGACGUGUCCAUGGAUGAGCUCGGCAAGCCGUCGCCUCUGCCACCAUACCCGUGCGUGGAAGAACUGUUGUGCGAGGUGGGCGACCCUAGGGUUGUUCUUGGAGUUCCCUUGUUCUUCAUGCAGGUAACCCAGCUGAGAUGUGGAGGAUUUGUGAUUGGUCUUCACAUAUGCCACAACAUCGCCGACGGCUACGGCACCACUCAAUUCCUGAAAUGCAUCGCCGACUUGGCUCGUACCGGUGGUGAUGCCUCCCAAAUCGUAUUGCCCGUGUGGAAUAGAGAGAUCCUGACCGCACGCAUCCCACCGCACAUAAACCCAGAAUUCGUGGGAUUCCUCCAAAGAUUAGGCAGCAAAGGCGAUGAUGUUAUGUUGUCAACACCGCCGGAAGAAAUGGUCGUCCGCUUCUUCCUCUUCGGCCCAGAAGACAUCGCAGCACUACGUAGCCACCAUGCCCCCGCACAUCUUUCGCCACCAGCGACAAGCUUCGAGCUUCUGACCGCGGUCAUGUGGCGUUGCCGCACGGUGGCGCUCGGCUAUGAGCACCACCAGCGGGUGGGCCUAAUUUUCUCUAUGAAUGUGCGCGGGGGUGGGAAGCGCCAUGGACUCGUCCCGCAUGGGUUUUACGGCAACGCACUAUUCUACCCUGUGGCAGACACGACCGCCGGAGAGCUAUCUGGCAACCCGCUUGGCUACACACUCGGACUCAUCCGUGAGGCCAAGCGCAACAUGACAGACGACAACAUGGAGUCCAUGGUGGAUUUCAUGGCAUCUCUACAUGGGCGGCCACCUCUCACCAUUGACAAAAUGUAUGAGGUCUCUGACAUGAAAUGGAUUGGACAGGAGGCACUGGACUUCCGAUGGGCGAAGCGAGUUGGCGGCGGCUUACCCAUGGUGGGGGACAUCUCCUUCGACUCUGUGAGUUGCCACAUGAGGUGUAAGAAUGGCAAGGGUCAGGACGUGAUCGUGAUAAACAUGAUAUUGCCAGGACCUGCAAUGGACAAGUUUGAGAAGGAGAUUGCUGUUUGGGUGUGCAAUGGACAAGACGAAAAGUAG
rnacentral:rRNA from 1 species